rnacentral:rRNA from 1 species
AUUGAACGCUGGCGGCAUGCCUUACACAUGCAAGUCGAACGGUAACGCGGGGCAACCUGGCGACGAGUGGCGAACGGGUGAGUAAUGCAUCGGAACGUGCCCAGUAGUGGGGGAUAGCCCGGCGAAAGCCGGAUUAAUACCGCAUACGACCUACGGGUGAAAGCGGGGGAUCGCAAGACCUCGCGCUAUUGGAGCGGCCGAUGUCAGAGUAGGUAGUUGGUGGGGUAAAGGCCUACCAAGCCUACGAUCUGUAGCUGGUCUGAGAGGACGACCAGCCACACUGGGACUGAGACACGGCCCAGACUCCUACGGGAGGCAGCAGUGGGGAAUUUUGGACAAUGGGGGCAACCCUGAUCCAGCCAUGCCGCGUGCGGGAAGAAGGCCUUCGGGUUGUAAACCGCUUUUGUCGGGGAAGAAAUCCUCCGGGCUAAUACCCCGGGGGGAUGACGGUACCCGGAGAAUAAGCACCGGCUAACUACGUGCCAGCAGCCGCCGUAACAC